AUGUCCAGGAGCCUCCUGCGGUCGUCUCCUUCAACUACACAAAAGAACCCGUGCCGGAACGCCCCGCGGCCUCGCCAUCAUCCUCAUCUUCUCCCCCGGUCGCCGACGUCCAUCGCCGAUUGCCGCUGCUCCGGGCCGCCCCGACCUCCCAACCUCGUCCACAAGCACCGGGACCCCGAGACCGAUGUUGAUGUCCCUGUGAUCGACUACGUCGACGACGACACUUCUUCCCUUUCAGCGGAGCUUCCAGAUGAUGGAUCCCUGGAGCCAAAUGCCACCGCCAAUGGAUGCUACUACAUGGAGACCACUGACGACCAGGAGUAG
rnacentral:rRNA from 1 species